GACGAACGCUGGCGGCGUGCUUAACACAUGCAAGUCGAACGCUGAAGCUUGGUGCUUGCACUGGGUGGAUGAGUGGCGAACGGGUGGGUAAUACGUGAGUAACCUGCCCUUGACUCUGGGAUAAGCCUGGGAAACUGGGUCUAAUACUGGAUACGACAUGUCACCGCAUGGUGGUGUGUGGAAAGGGUUUUACUGGUUUUGGAUGGGCUCACGGCCUAUCAGCUUGUUGGUGGGGUAAUGGCUCACCAAGGCGACGACGGGUAGCCGGCCUGAGAGGGUGACCGGCCACACUGGGACUGAGACACGGCCCAGACUCCUACGGGAGGCAGCAGUGGGGAAUAUUGCACAAUGGGCGGAAGCCUGAUGCAGCGACGCCGCGUGAGGGAUGACGGCCUUCGGGUUGUAAACCUCUUUCAGCACGGAAGAAGCGAAAGUGACGGUACGUGCAGAAGAAGCGCUGGCUAACUACGUG
rnacentral:rRNA from 1 species